rnacentral:lncRNA from 1 species
CUCUUUGCUUUCUUAAUUAACAAGAUGAGAUCUCUAAGCAUUAUUUUGGCCAUUAAUCUAGCAAUAUUAGUUUUGGUUCUAACCAUGAUCAAACCACAUGAAGCCUGCCGGCUCAUAGAUGAUCAGAAAAAAGAAAAUUUAUGGAGGAAAAGUAAGAAUAAUAAUAAUCUCCGGCUACAAUCUCUACAGAAGGGACGUCCGGUAGGCCCACCAGCACCCAAUCCGUGCUCCAACAUUCCCGGUGGUACCGGUAUAUGCAAGCUCAACCAGAAUUAAAGACUUCGCCGGACACACGCUAUGGCUCCUCCUCCUCCACCACCUAAUUCUAUGCAAGCGCACCCGCAGCUCAUGACUAAUUAAUUUGGUGUUGCUACUUAAUAAUUAUUUACCCUAAUUAAAUAAAAGUCCUAUAGUGGCUCAGCCAACAACAUGAUCAAAUUAAAAUAAGAGGAAACCAAAUGGUUUUAAUUUCUUCAAAGUUUACUCUUUUUCCCCAUCAUUCUUUAAAUUAUUAUACCUAGGAAUUAAUUCAUUGCCAUUCUUUAUGUUGAUAUAUUGUAUUUUAAUAAUUGUAACAUGUACUAAUAUAUAUUAAUGUCAUGGAGGAGGUGAGAAUAAAAUUGAACCUACA